rnacentral:snRNA from 1 species
ACUCUUGUUUCUCUUCAGAUCGUAUAAAUCUUUCGCCUUUUACUAAAGAUUUCCGUGGAGAGGAACAACAAGAGAUUAACUCAUUUUUUUGAUGCCCUGCUUAUGUGGGGCU